rnacentral:rRNA from 1 species
GAAAAGAAAGCAAAAGCGAUUCCCAAAGUAACGGCGAGUGAACAGGGAUAAGCCUAGCGCUAAGGAUUAAUGUGAUUUUAUUGUUGGUUGGAGCAAUCUGGCUAAUAGUAAAGUCAAUCAAAAACAUUAAUCGGUGCAGCGUUACAAACUCUAGUGACUAGUAAUAUUAAUGGCAUAUUUUCAGCAAUGAAUGAUAUGUCUUUUUUAGCCUAGGAUAUAAGUCCCAUUGACUUGGGCUUAUCAAUUAAUUGAGAUGACUAUAAUAUUGGGGCAACUUGGUAUUAUGGUUGAGCCAUAGAGGGUGAAAGUCCCUUAUUGUCCAGGUAUUGAUAUUACGAACUAGAGAUGUCCCUUAAAAAAGGACAAUUUUGUUAGAGUCGGGUUGCUUGAGAGUGCAACCUAAAGAGCGAGGUAAACUGCUCGUAAGGCUAUUGAUUAAUAAUGCUAUGACACCGAUAGCAAACAAGUACCGUGAGGGAAAGUUGCAAAGUACUUUGAAGAGAGAGUUAAAUAGGGCGUGAAACCGCUAGCUGGUAAACGAGUGGAGCCACGAAGUCGUUUCGUAGAAUAAGGACGACAAACUCAGGAGGGGUUAAAUCUUAACUGGUUUAGCUUUUUCGCAUUUUUGUUUCGUCCUCUAUGUAUACGUACACUGCAACCAAUUAGACGAUUAAUUGUGGAAAUAGUUAACUAAUAAAAAUAGAAAUAUUAUUAUUUGUUAGCGACAAUAUUUAUAUACUAUCUAUAGGUAGCUUGAUUUUAUUAGUAAAAUAAUAAAAUUAAGUGUCUGAUGGGUAUGUGUGAGAGCUACAAUUGAAUACUGAUUGGCAAAAUGAAAAUCCAUUCGUAAGAAUGGUUUAAGAUAAUAUUAAUUCUGCAGUAUUAUAGUAUACAAGUGUUUGGUAUUGGCUAAAGCUCGUUAGUUUUAAAUUUAGACAUGUAAACUAUUCGUCGGUUUCGGCUGCGGAUGCUUAUUUUGCUUCUAUCUAAUUGGCUAGCGACUUUGUUAGUAUUUUUAUACUUGUUAUGAUAUAUUAUAAUAUUAGUGAAUUAAUUAUUUAUUAGCAG